UGGGGAAUAUUGCACAAUGGGCGGAAGCCUGAUGCAGCGACGCCGCGUGCGGGAUGAAGGCCUUCGGGUUGUAAACCGCUUUCAGCAGGGACGAGGCCGCAAGGUGACGGUACCUGCAGAAGAAGCCCCGGCUAACUACGUGCCAGCAGCCGCGGUAAUACGUAGGGGGCAAGCGUUAUCCGGAUUCAUUGGGCGUAAAGCGCGCGUAGGCGGUCUGUUAGGUCAGGAGUCAAAUCUGGGGGCUCAACCCCUAUCCGCUCCUGAUACCGGCAGGCUUGAGUCUGGUAUGGGAAGGUGGAAUUCCAAGUGUAGCGGUGAAAUGCGCAGAUAUUUGGAAGAACACCAGUGGCGAAGGCGGCCUUCUGGGCCAUGACUGACGCUGAGGCGCGAAAGCUAGGGGAGCGAACAGG
rnacentral:rRNA from 1 species